CUAAAGUAAGUCCUGGACAGUACACCCGAGCAAUCCCUACCAUCGUUCACUAGCUUCAUAGAAUAUAUUCACCCCAUCUGGGAACAGAAGCUCUAGUAUUCUGAUUGGUCUCUUUUUCUGGAAAUACAGAGGAGAGGUUUGUCUUGGUCCAUUUUAUGCUGCUAUAACAGAACACCACAGACUGAGAAAUUUAUAAGGAAUAGAAGUUUAUUUGCCUCAUGUUUCUGGAGGCUGGGAAUUCCAAGAUCAAGGGGCUGCAUAGAUUGAGGUCCUUUUUGCUGACUCAUAACGUGGAAAGAGAGUGCACUGCAUAGAAGAAAGGAGGCCAAACUCAUUCUUUUAUCAUGAGCCUACUCCUGAAAUAACUCACUCUCAAGAUAAUGGCAUUAAUCCAUUCAUGAAGGCAGAAUACUCAUGAUGUAAUCACCUCUUAAAAGGUCCUAUUUCCUAACACUGUUGCAUUAGGGAUUAAGCUGUCAACACAUGAAUAUUGGGGGACACAUUCAAACCAUAGCAAGAGUUCUUUGUCUUUGUGACUCGGUGUGGUUCAGCAAAUUGCGAUUGGUCUGCUAUAGCGGACUUUCCCCUCACCUCCCAAAUGUUUAUUAUGAAAAAUUUCAUUUUAAAGAAAGGUGGAAGGAAUUGUUGAA
rnacentral:lncRNA from 10 species